CCUACGGGCGGCAGCAGUGAGGAAUAUUGGUCAAUGGGCGCGAGCCUGAACCAGCCAAGUAGCGUGAAGGAUGACUGCCCUACGGGUUGUAAACCUCUUUUAUCAAGGAAUAAAGUGAGGCACGUGUGCCUUUUUGUAUGUACUUUAUGAAUAAGGAUCGGCUAACUCCGUGCCAGCAGCCGCGGUAAUACGGAGGAUCCGAGCGUUAUCCGGAUUUAUUGGGUUUAAAGGGAGCGUAGAUGGGUUGUUAAGUCAGUUGUGAAAGUUUGCGGCUCAACCGUAAAAUUGCAAUUGAAACUGGCAGUCUUGAGUACAGGUGAGGUAGGCGGAAUGCGUGGUGUAGCGGUGAAAUGCUUAGAUAUCACGAAGAACUCCGAUUGCGAAGGCAGCUUACCAGACUCCCACUGACAUUGAUGCACGAAAGUGUGGGUAUCAAACAGGAUUAGAUACCCUGGUAGUC
rnacentral:rRNA from 1 species